rnacentral:ribozyme from 1 species
AAAGAAAGAAAAGAAAGAAAGAAGGAAAAGAAAGAAAUGAAGUUGUGAAUGAAUAUGAGGCGGUGGGUUGAGGCUUAUUGUUUGCGGGGGAAGGUAAGUUUCUCUUGUCUCAUCUCUCCUGCUUAUUCCAAUCUGGCGUAAGGUU